CAGGGAGGGGGAGGGGGUGCCCAAGGUCACCUGUGAGCUGUAGCGCAGUUCAAUUAGAAUCUCUGGCCUCUCCUAGGGAACUGGGCAGUGUCCUGGGUGGAAUGUGUGAGAGUCCUGGAUGGGCUCCAUGAGGCGGGAUUGCUGAGGCCCAAAGAGAGGGAGGGCCCCUGAUGACCCAGACCAGAAGUCAGGCUGCCGCCACCUAGACCCAAGCUGGACAUCCUUUGCCCUUGCAGAGAAAGACCCUAAAAAGAAAUGAGGGGCCUCUCCAGACUGGUUGGGAGCCAUGCCAACUGCCUUCUGGGUUUUAUAGAUCUUGGGGAUUAUCUGCAUCACUGGAGAAGUUAUCUAGAUGGUGCCUCACCAUGCAUCUGGUAUCCAAAACAUUGUCAAGAGUGUUUGUCUUCGGAGAGGGAAACCAGAUGUCUGGCGAAUAAGGAGGGGAGACUGACUUUUCACUGUUUCUGUUUUGUGCUGCUUGGAUUUUAUACCAGGGCUCUGCAUUAUCCAUCUAAGAACUUAAACGCAUUUCUUAAAAAUCACCCAGUUUAAAUAACAAACUUUAAAGUGAGCUCUUGAUCA